CACGUAGUUGGCCGGUGCUUCUUCUAUAGGUACCGUCACUUGCGCUUCGUCCCUAUUGAAAGAGGUUUACAACCCGAAGGCCGUCAUCCCCCACGCGGCGUCGCUGCAUCAGGCUUGCGCCCAUUGUGCAAUAUUCCCCACUGCUGCCUCCCGUAGGAGUCUGGGCCGUAUCUCAGUCCCAGUGUGGCCGGUCACCCUCUCAGGCCGGCUACCCGUCGUCGCCUUGGUAGGCCAUUACCCCACCAACAAGCUGAUAGGCCGCGGGCCCAUCCCACACCGCAAAACGCUUUCCACCACACACCAUGAAGCGCGUGGUCCUAUUCGGUAUUAGACCCAGUUUCCCAGGCUUAUCCCAAAGUGCAGGGCAGAUCACCCACGUGUUACUCACCCGUUCGCCACUCGAGUACCCCGAAGGGCCUUUCCGUUCGACUUGCAUGUGUUAAGCACGCCGCCAGCGUCGUCCUCGUAGCCACGGAGUCAAACUAC
rnacentral:rRNA from 1 species